rnacentral:rRNA from 1 species
UACCUGCAGCUCAAGUGGUGAUCAUUAUUAUUGGGCCUAAAAACGUCCGUAGCCGGUUUGGUAAAUGCCUGGGUAAAUCGUGUAGCUUAACUAUACGAAUUCCGGGUAGACUGCCAAACUUGGGACCGGGAGAGGCUAGAGGUACUCCUGGGGUAGAGGUGAAAUUCUGUAAUCCUAGGGGGACCACCAGUGGCGAAGGCGUCUAGCUAGAACGGGUCUGACGGUCAGGGACGAAGCCCUGGGGCGCGAACCGGAUUAGAUACCCCUGUA